ACAUGCAAGUCGAACGAUGAAGUUCCUUCGGGGAUGGAUUAGUGGCGAACGGGUGAGGAACACGUGAAGAAUCUGCCCUCCACUUCGGGAUAACACCGGGAAACCGGUGCUAAUACCGAAUAUUGAAAUAUAAGUGGCAUCACUGAAUUUUGAAAGAAUUUCGGUGGAGGAUGACUUCGCGGCCUAUCAGCUUGUUGGUGAGGUAAAGGCUCACCAAGGCUACGACGGGUAUCCGGCCUGAGAGGGCGACCGGACACACUGGGACUGAGACACGGCCCAGACUCCUACGGGAGGCAGCAGUGGGGAAUAUUGGGCAAUGGACGAAAGUCUGACCCAGCGACGCCGCGUGAGGGAUGAAGGCCUUCGGGUUGUAAACCUCUUUCAGUAGGGAAGAAGCGAAAGUGACGGUACCUAAAGAAGAAGCACCGGCUAACUAUGUGCCAGCAGCUGCGGUAAUACAUAGGGUGCAAGCGUUGUCCGGAAUUAUUGGGCGUAAAGAGCUCGUAGGUGGUUUGUUGCGUCGGGUGUGAAAUUC
rnacentral:rRNA from 1 species